GCGGAUGGAGCUGACGAGAGUCGCAGAUACCAGGUGGCUGCAACUGUUUAUUAAAAACACAGCACUGUGCAAAAUCGUAAGAUGACGUAUACGGUGUGACGCCUGCCCGGUGCCGGAAGGUUAAUUGAUGGGGUUAGACUUCGGUCGAAGCUCUUGAUCGAAGCCCCGGUAAACGGCGGCCGUAACUAUAACGGUCCUAAGGUAGCGAAAUUCCUUGUCGGGUAAGUUCCGACCUGCACGAAUGGCGUAAUGAUGGCCACGCUGUCUCCACCCGAGACUCAGUGAAAUUGAAAUCGCUGUGAAGAUGCAGUGUACCCGCGGCUAGACGGAAAGACCCCGUGAACCUUUACUACAGCUUGGCACUGAACAUUGACCCUACAUGUGUAGGAUAGGUGGGAGGCUUUGAAGCACGUACGCCAGUAUGUGUGGAGCCGUCCUUGAAAUACCACCCUUGUAGUGUUGAUGUUCUAACGUUGACCCCUAAUCGGGGUUGCGGACAGUGCCUGGUGGGUAGUUUGACUGGGGCGGUCUCCUCCCAAAGAGUAACGGAGGAGCACGAAGGUGGGCUAAUCACGGUUGGACAUCGUGAGGUUAGUGCAAUGGCAUAAGCCCGCUUGACUGCGAGAAUGACAAUUCGAGCAGGUGCGAAAGCAGGUCAUAGUGAUCCGGUGGUUCUGAAUGGAAGGGCCAUCGCUCAACGGAUAAAAGGUACUCCGGGGAUAACAGGCUGAUACCGCCCAAGAGUUCAUAUCGACGGCGGUGUUUGGCACCUCGAUGUCGGCUCAUCACAUCCUGGGGCUGAAGUCGGUCCCAAGGGUAUGGCUGUUCGCCAUUUAAAGUGGUACGCGAGCUGGGUUUAGAACGUCGUGAGACAGUUCGGUCCCUAUCUGCCGUGGGCGUUGGAAGAUUGAAGGGGGCUGCUCCUAGUACGAGAGGACCGGAGUGGACGAACCUCUGGUGUUCGGGUUGUGUCGCCAGACGCAUUGCCCGGUAGCUAAGUUCGGAAUCGAUAACCGCUGAAAGCAUCUAAGCGGGAAGCGAGCCCUGAGAUGAGUCUUCCCUGAUACUUUAAGUAUCCUAAAGGGUUGUCGGAGACUACGACGUUGAUAGGUCAGGUGUGUAAGUGCUGUGAGGCAUUGAGCUAACUGAUACUAAUUGCCCGUGAGGCUUAACCAUACAACACCCAAGGGGUUU
rnacentral:rRNA from 1 species